rnacentral:tRNA from 1 species
GGGCGCAUAACUCAGCGGUAGAGUGCAUCCUUCACACGGAUGAAGUCGUAGGUUCAAUCCCUACUGCGCCCACCA